UGUAUGAGAGUCAAGUGAUGUAUGGUUAUAAUCCCAGAAAUAUCGCAGUGACAUUUUAUUUUGCUACAUUAUUGAAAUUACAUUAUUUCGAUUUCGACGGUAUCAACAAAAUAAUAUGUUUUGAUGAGGCGUAUUAUUUUUUUUUUAUGAGCAACAACAGGAAGUCUAGUUUCCAACAUUCGGCCAUUAAUUUAUGAGCUGAACAAAAUCGGCACAGAGAAGAUAUUAAAUACGUUGACGUUGAAUUUAUUAUAAACAGCAAAAAUGAACCGAUUAAAGUUUGAAGUACACAACCCGGAAUCAUACAGAUGUUGUAUUUGUUGUCAUGUUCGAACAGGAACUCUGUUUCUUGGUCUUUUUUACUUGCUGGUACAGUUAUUCUGUGUCGGGUUACUGAUCAUGUUUUCAAUACGUCCAGAUAUCUUGGUACCUAAACCUGGAAGCUCUAUGAUGUCUGGUGGGAUAUUUGUGACUGAAAAUGAAGAUGGAACACAUAUUGAUACAUACACAGUGUUAGCCAGUAGAAAAUUCAGCAAAGAAGACAUGUGCGUUGCCUAUGGACUAACAGUUGCCUCUAUUUUAAUCACUGUAUCACUUCUUUAUGGUGUUAUAAGG